CUUGCUUUCUUUGCUGGCGACCGGCGCACGGGUGAGUAACACGUAUCCAACCUGCCCUUUACUCGGGGAUAGCCUUUCGAAAGAAAGAUUAAUACCCGAUAGCAUAAUGAUUCCGCAUGGUUUCAUUAUUAAAGGAUUCCGGUAAAGGAUGGGGAUGCGUUCCAUUAGGUUGUUGGUGAGGUAACGGCCCACCAAGCCUUCGAUGGAUAGGGGUUCUGAGAGGAAGGUCCCCCACAUUGGAACUAAGACACGGUCCAA
rnacentral:rRNA from 1 species